GCGUCCUCAGCGACGGACCGG
rnacentral:snRNA from 1 species